UCCUAGCUUCUCAUAAAUAUAAUCGCUUCACUUGUUUUUUCUGGUCUUUUUUGUAAGAGGGAUCACUGGUGGCGUCUCAAUACUCAAAACUUCAUCAUUUCUUCCUUUCACUUUAGCUACUCGACAUUCAAGAGCAACGUUCAGAGUCUCUUCCGACAUCCGUUUUGGUCUUUUCUUUCUUUCCUGUCUUUUAAAGGAUCUCUUGCUUUCUUCAUGUGUGAUGUCCUUGAUGUCAUUCCACAACUCGUCUGGUCUUCAGUCGUUAGUGUUCAACACGUAAAAUGUGUUCUUGAGGUGGUCUCUAAAUACAGGUGAGAUAUACUCAAGGUCAUAUUUUGGCCCCUUUUGACUUAUUCUAAUUUUCUUCAGUUUCAACUUGAACUCCCAUAUGAGCAAUUGACAGUCUGUUUCACAAUUGAUCCCUGGCCUUGUUCUGACUGAUGAUAUGAGUUUUCCCAUCUUCUCUUUCCACAGAUGUAGUCAGUUUGAUUCCUGUGUAUUCCAUCUGGUAAAGUCCACGUGUAUAGCUGCCGUUUAUGUUGGUGAAAAAAAAUAUUUGCAGUGGAUGAGUCACUGGUCUUGCAGAAUUCUUUCAUGAGAUUUCUGGUGUCAUUUAUUUCAUCGAUGCUGUAUUUUCCAACUACUUUUCCUUCUUUGUUUCCAACUUUAACAUUCUAAUGACCAGUAAUUAUCAAUGCAUCUUGAUUGCAUGUUUGAUCAAUUUCAGGCUGCAGAAGUUGUUUAAAAUCUUCAAUUUCUUUAUCUUUGGCAUUAGUGGUUGGUGCAUCAAUUUGAAUAGUCGUAUAAACUAGUCUUCCUUGUAAGUGUAUGGAUUUUAGCCUAUUAGUGACAACAUUGUACUUCAGGCUAGAUCUUGAAAUGUUCUCUUUGAUGAUAUGUAACGUCAUUCUUUUGACUCUAGUGGAAUAUCCAUGUUUGUAAGACUGCUCACAGACUGUUUCACCAGAGAGUUUUCUGGUACCGCAACAUCUACCACUAAUCUCUGUGAUCCCUGUGAAUUGGCAAAAUAAGAAUAGUGCUAUAGAUUUCUUCCAAAUACAGAAAACAUAAGUAUGAAAAUGUUCUUGCUGUUGAUUAUAUUCUUUACCAAUCUGUUUGUGUGGGAUUUUUGGUACUUCACUUGAAAAAUGAGUCCAAGGUACUGUGAUGUGAUUGUUUACUUUGUGUGGCCUUUCUAGCCAUGGUCUUAUAACAUCCACCCUGGUGCUUGGGCAGGACUGUGUGAUAGGGUAAUUGUGGCUCACCAAGGGGAUUGUUUAUUUUCCCUUCAAAGAGAACCAGUUCCAGAGCAAAGAGGAGGAUUCAACUCCCAUCAAGGAAGAACAGCCAAGAGCCGAGCGUAUAUUAUGGACCUGAGAUCCCUGCACUGAGAAGCUCCUAGAAGCAAGAGACUGAGAUAGAGAGAGGAAGCUGUAACCCUGAAGAUGCUUAAAUACAGACCAGAAGAGGAGUUUGGGGCUUGACACCUGACAUCUUAACACCAGUUCCUGUUUCUUGAGGAAGGAAGAGGUAAAAUAAAUCAGCGUUUACUGUUUCCUUCUCCAUCCCCGGAAGUCCUGAUGAAGACCCUCUCAGGAGGGAAGAGGUAAAAAAGAAGGCAGUGUCUACUAUGUCCUUUGCCAUGUGUGUCAGGAAAUCCUCAUGAAGAGCCUCUCAGCUUCAACUUGAACGUGAAUAUGAGCAACUGAUCAUCUGUUCUGCAGUCAGCCCCUGGCCUGCUUCUGACUCAUGAUAUUGACCUUCUCCAUCAUCACCUUCCACAAAUUUGAUUCCUGUCUAUUCUGCCUGGAAUGGUUCAUGAGUAUAGUCACCGUUUAUGUUCCUGAUGAAAGCUUAAAUACAGACCAGAAGAGGAGUUUGGGGCUUGACACCUGACAUCUUAACACCAGUUCCUGUUUCUUGAGGAAGGAAGAGGUAAAAUAAAUCAGCGUUUACUGUUUCCUUCUCCAUCCCCGGAAGUCCUGAUGAAGACCCUCUCAGCUUCAACUUGAACGUGAAUAUGAGCAACUGAUCAUCUGUUCUGCAGUCAGCCCCUGGCCUGAUUCUGACUCAUGGUAUUGACCUUCUCCAUCAUCACCUUCCACAAAUUUGAUUCCUGUCUAUUCUGCCUGGAAUGGUUCAUGAGUAUAGUCACCGUUUAUGUUCCUGAUGAAAGGUAUGUGCAAUGAAUAAGUCAUUGGUCUUGCCAAAUUCUAUCAUGUAAGCUUCAUUGUCAUUUCUAUCAUCAAUACCUUAUUUUCCAACUGCUGAUUUGUCUGCUUUGUUUUCAACUUCGCAUUCUAAAUGAUUGAUCAAUGCAUCACAUUUGAUCAGUUUCAAACUGCAUAACUUGGUAAAAACCUUCAACUUGUUCAUCUUUCACAUUCAUGAUUUGUGUGUAAAUUUGAAUAAUAGUCUUAUUAACUGGUCUUCCUGGUAGGCCUGUGGAUAUUAUCCUAUUGCUCGUAAUGUUGUACUUCAGAAAAGAUCUUGAAAUGUUCUUUUUAUCGAUGAAUAUGAUGCCAUUCUCUUCAGUAUCUCAAUCCUGGCAUAGUAGGACAUAUCAUUGUCUAGUUUAAAAUGUCCAAAACCAAGCUAUUUCAGCUAACUAAUGCCUUGGAUUACUGACCUUUAUGCAUUCCAUUUGAUUUUUGAUGACUUCCAAUUUCCCUAGAUUCAUACUUCCUUCAUUCCACAUUCUGAUUAUUAAAGGAUAUUUGCAUCAGUUUCUUCUCAUUAUGAGUUAUGCCCCAUCAGGAAAUGUCAUUAAAGUGGGAUCUACUUUGAGGAGGUAGCUCUUCCCCACUCGUAUUUUGAGUGCCUUCCAACCUAAGGGGUUAUCCUCUGUCAUUCAAUCAGACAGUGUUCCAGUACUAUUUGGAAGAUUUCACUGGCCAGUUUUUUUUAGAAAUAGAUCACUAGGUCCUUUUUCCUAGUCUGUCUAAAUCCAGAGCUCCACUCAAAGCUGUCUACCAUGUGUGAACCUGGUGGUAUUUGAAAUACCGGUGGCAUAGCUUCUAACAUCACAGCAACAUGCAAGCCACCACACUACAACAAACUGACAGAAGAGUGGUGGGAGUUAAAAAUGAGAAGAACCAAAAAGAGUGCUUCUUCCAUGUCUGCUGAUUUAGAGGAACCAUGAAAAAUUGUCAAGUGAAGAGUGAUUCAGAGAAAAACAUGGGUAGAGUGUGACCUAAUUUCCAUAAAAACAAACAAAUGAAUGUACGUACGUGUGUCCCGGCAAAAAGCAGUGUGUAAAAGGGUACAUAUGUAUCUUUGGACACUGGACACUUUGGGGAGCAGGUACAAUAUACUUAUGAGGGGGUGGCUCUUAUUAUAACUUCUAUAUACAAGUCUCUAUUGUUAAAUAUGUUAUAAGAAUGUAAAACCUUUUAAAGUUAAUAACAUCAUACGUGUAUGUGUGUGUAUUUGAAACUUUUUUUCUGUUUUGACUGUUUUAUAUAUGUGUUUUUUAGUUAUCUAGUGUGGCUAUAGCAGAGAUACCACAAGUGGAUGGCUUUAACAAACAGAAGCUUAUUCUCUCACAGUUUAAGAAGCAACAAGUUUGAAGUCAGGGCACCAGCUCUAGGAGAAAGCUUUCUCUCUUUGUGGCUCUGGGGGAAAGUCCUUGUCAUCUAUCUUCCCCUGGCCUAGGAAGUUCUCAGCCUGUGGACACUGGGUCAAAAAGACCUGCUCCACUCCAGGCACUUCUUCCUUGGUGGUAUGAGGUCCCUCUCAUUUCUGCUCACUUUUCUCUUUUUAUGUCAAAAGAGACUGACUCAAGACUCACCCUAAUCCUGUAGAUUGUGUCCUCCCUCAUUAACCUAACUGCCUCUAAUCCUGCCUCAUUAACAUCACAGAGGUUAGAAUUUACAACACAUAAGUAAUCACAUCAGAUCACAAAAUGCAGGACAACCACACAAUACUGGGAAUCAGGGUCUGGCCAGGUUGACACACAUUUUGGGGGACACUAUUCAAUCCAUAACAAUAGAGAAAACACUGUCUUCAAUGCCAGAUUCAGAGACUUUUAUCCAUCUGUGAAGGGCAAACACAGAAACUGAACAAAAUUCAGACCAGCGAAUUAUUGCUUGCUCUUGUAACUAAUGACUUCUUCUGGUCUCUAUGCCUGGAAAUGGCCAAAAAGAAUUCUGUGAGGAUUAAUUCAGUUAUUGCUCAAACAUCUACUGCAUUUACAUGUCUACAGAUAAGGAAGAAUGCUGGACACCAUGUGUGAUUCAUUAAGUAACACGGGGACCAUUAGACUAUUGUUCUCCUUCUCUGAUAUGCCACUAUCACCUUCUCCCCUUGUUGCUCUCCUGAAAAACCCACACUUGUAUAUUCUAGGCUUUUUUUCAGGAUUGAAUUUGCAGGAAGUUAAAGAUACAUCUUUGAAAGAUAAAGAAGACUUUGGCCACAUUGUCUUUAGACAGUUGAACUUCCCAGCCAACCUCUGUGCAGGAUGGGAAUUCACAAUCCCUCCUACUCAGUACCUCUGAGCAGGACGGGAUUUCUGUUUCAUUAUCAGGAGACUGUGGAAUUCACCCCUCUUCAGAAAACUUACUUUCCUUUGCCUCAAACUGUCCCUCUCAGGAUCUGUCACGGUCACUCUGAGAAAUUCACAUGGGCAGCCUGUAUGGAAGUGCCCAUCCUAGAGGCCCUGCCCUCCCUUCCUUGCUCCAUAGGGCUACCUCUGACACUUGGGGUCGCAUCUCCCAGGGAGUACACACCUCUGGCACUUCCAGGGAUUCCCAGGCCCUGGGAUACUGUGGAUGGGACUUGGAACUCAAUCUGUUUCUUCCCAUCCUCACCUUUGGUUAUCUGUGUUCUGUCUUCACCAGAUUUAGGAGGCCUUGUCUUCUCUUUGCUCGUUUCAUCUCAGUCAGGCUUUUCUAUUCCAACUCUCUGAUCUCAGGACAGAUCAGGUUAGACCACAGAAAAGACAAAGACCAAGCAAACAUCACUGAUCUGUGCAGAAGCUGCUGGGAAGGGAUUCGAUUCUCAUUGGUUUAGGGUUUUAUGCCCACUGCUCACCGGCAGGCAGAUUCCCCCCAGAGUCUGGCUUCUGUCUGGUACCUUGUACUACAAAGAACUCAGUGACCAGCCCACCUUCACAAUCACACCUCCCUUAGAGCUAUCUUUGCAGAGGCUCUUUCUCAGACUUCCAUGUCCCACUGAAAUCCCUUUUCUCUUUCCUUACCAACAUUAUGCUCAUUCUCAGGGCCCUGAGACCUCAUCUGCAGAUGAGUCUUGUCCUCUUCUCUCCUUGGCAGGGGGAGCUUUUGAGUGGAUCUCAUGUCUUCGGACAGCUAUCCUGGGCCUACUUCCACCAUGGUGCUCUAGGGCUGGAUCUCUCCACGUAAUAGAGGGGGCGUGGAAGGGGCACAAGGCUAAAAGGAUGGAUCUUCCAGGUGAAGUGGGUUUAAGAAGCCUGAAUGAAGUUCUUCCCUGAAGGGUGCAUAUUUUCAGUCCAGACAUCCCGCUUCUCUCAGUCUAAGAGGCCUAGCACGUCUUCAGAUGCUUCUCCUUUGACCUUCAGGCCAUGCCUGCACCCUCUGCAGCCAGGUCUCCCACAUGUGUAGCAGCACCAGUAGGUGUGGCAGUCUCUUCAGCCCUUGUCUCCUCCUCCAGAUGCUCCUGGAGAUGCCUGGCUCUUCUUGCCAGGACACCAGGAUGCUGACCAGGGACUCAGUGUUGGUUAAAGGAUGUCGACCAGUGAGUACGUGUCCUCAUUUCCUUUGAAGGGUUAGGCUCCUUGCCUGGGCAGAAGACAGCCAAGGUCAGCCGGUGACAGACGGUGACUCCCACACUCACAUAUCCCCUGGUGGCAGAAUGAUAGUGAUGGGUGGAGAAACAUGGCUCCUGAGCACACGUUGAAUGGGGCACCGGCCAAAGGCCACGGCUAGGAGUGGACGUCGUGGAGCUGAAUGGCGAGCCAGUGAAGGGCCGAAGGAUUUCUCCUGUAUGUGGCAAACAGGUCAUCCGUGUCCCCACGUCCAUAAACCAUCGGACUGCCGGGGCCCAGGCUGCCAGGAUUGCGGCCUUGCCUUCGGAGCCCGGCCACAUACGCAGCCUCGCACCGGAGGCGGGGACACGUAGACAGCAAAAAUUUGGAAAAUGGCAGUGUCUCCUCGAUUUCCCCGGCAUCGGCCUUUUUGAGCGGCAUGCUUUGUUCCCUAGUAGGAUAAGGCACUGACAGAGAAAGGCAGGAUUAUGUGUGCAGGAAAGGUGUGUGCUGAGAGGGUGAUGACGUUGAGACCAGGUUGGGAUCUUUAGUCCCAGGAAAGGCCCCUGGCAGGUGUGGGUCAAUGUUCUCUGCCCAUCCGAGUUGGCGGGGGGAGGUUUUCACCAAACAAAGCAGCAGCGGGAUUAUUCGUCGCCGGAGAGGUUGCAUCUGCCCACAAGCUCCACCUGGCCAGGGACCACCCCUACCUAUUGCCCAUGUCAAUCAACAGAAGCUAAGACCUUCCAGAGAGACUACCUGCUAUUGUCUACCCACGGGGAAGCGGUCCAGCCAGAAGCCUCCCCCGUUUCAUCUCCAGGCUCUCUGUCAGGCCCCUCAUACUUGUGAUAUGUCUCAGGGGUAGAAGGAAGAGAUUUCUCUGAAUGAAAACAUCCAGAGAGGGGCCAUAGAUGCUGAGGAACGGCACCUUGCCUACUGACAUCCUAGCGUAAGUGGUAAAGAGGUACCUGCCUGCUGUCCCAGUGUGUCGAACGUGUCCACAUCAGGGAUUGGCUAUUGUCAAGUUAUUCCCUGGUGCCCUCGAUUUUGUGGCCAAAGACACAAGGGCCUGUUGUGUGUCCAUGGGUACAAUGGAGGGCUCUGCAGAACUGGCCGGUUAGGCUGGACUUCUAUUGGCUCAGUGUUUGUGACCCGUCCCCGUCAGAAGUACCGACCAGCCUUCCGGUGGCUGUCUCCGUGGUGAUUGGGAAAGAAGCC